CUACGUGCCAGCAGCCGCGGUAAUACGUAGGGGGCAAGCGUUAUCCGGAAUAACUGGGCGUAAAGGGUGCGCAGGUGGUUUAACAAGUUAGUGGUGAAAGGCAUAGGCUCAACCAAUGUAAGCCAUUAAAACUGUUUAACUUGAGUGCAGGAGAGGAAAGUGGAAUUCCUAGUGUAGCGGUGAAAUGCGUAGAUAUUAGGAGGAAUACCAGUGGCGAAGGCGACCUUCUGGACUGCAACUGACACUGAGGCACGAAAGCGUGGGGAGCAAACAGGAUUAGAUACCCUGGUAGUCCACGCCGUAAACGAUGAGUACUAGGUGUCGGGUGAAGAACUCGGUGCCGAAGUUAACACAUUAAGUACUCCGCCUGGGGAGUACGCUCGCAAGAGUAAAACUCAAAGGAAUUGACGGGGACCCGCACAAGCAGCGGAGCAUGUGGUUUAAUUCGAAGCAACGCGAAGAACCUUACCUAAACUUGACAUACCAAUGACAGCCUU
rnacentral:rRNA from 1 species